CUCCAUGUGUAUUUAGAAACAACCUGAACUUAGGCAAAACGAUGACUGAACACAACCUUGCCAGCGUCAUUUGUUUAAAAGAUAGUCUGGGCGACGGCUGUGGUCUGGGGUGCGUUGUUAAAUUUCCUCUGGCUAGGUUAGGUUUGAAUCAGGUGCGCUUUCAUGUAUAUUUAGAAAAAACCCGAACUUAACCUGGUAGCUACGGGGAUCAUGUUUCUUAAAGGCCCCUCUAAGCGAGAAAAAUGAGAAAAAAAUCAUCACUCACGCAAACCAUUUCGUAAUAUAUAUCAACGCAUUUGUGAUCAGUUUAUGAAAUAAGGAAGUGGAAAAGGUGGAAGGAAAUUAGAAAGUGGAAAAGUGGAAGGAAAUUUGAAAGUGGAAGAUGUGGAAGGAAAUAAGAAAGUGGAGAAGAUGAAUGGAAAUUAGAAAGUGGAAAAGAUGGAAGGAAAUUAGAAAGUGGAAAGGUGGAAGGAAAUUAGAAAGUGGAAAAGUGGAAGGAAAUUAGAAAGUGGAAAAGUGGAAGAAAAUUAGAAAGUGGAAAAGUGGAAGGAAAUUAGAAAGUGGAAAAGAUGGAAGGAAAUUAGAAAGUGGAAAAGAUGGAAGGAAAUUAGAAAGUGGAAAAAAUGGAAGGAAAUUAGAAAGUGGAAAAGUGGAAGGAAAUUAGAAAGUGGAAAAAAUGGAAGGAAAUAAGAAAGUGAAAAAGAUGGAAGGAAAUUAGAAAGUGGAAAAGUGGAAGGAAAUUAGAAAGUGGAAAAGUGGAAGGAAAUUAGAAAGUGGAAAAGUGGAAGGAAAUUAGAAAGUGGAAAAAUGGAAGGAAAUUAGAAAGUGGAAAAGUGGAAGGAAAUUAGAAAGUGGAAAAGUGGAAGGAAAUUAAAAAGUGGAAAAGUGGAAGGAAAUUAGAAAGUGGAAAAGAUGGAAGGAAAUUAGAAAGUGGAAAAGUGGAAGGAAAUUAGAAAGUGGAAGAGAUGGAAGGAAAUAAAAAAAUGGACAACGAUAUAAUAAGUGUGCUAACAAACAAACAAAUGAAAAAGUAUAAGUGAAAGAAAAACAACUAGAA